rnacentral:rRNA from 1 species
GAUCCUGGCUCAGGAUGAACGCUAGCUACAGGCUUAACACAUGCAAGUCGAGGGGCAGCAUGGUCUUAGCUUGCUAAGGCUGAUGGCGACCGGCGCACGGGUGAGUAACACGUAUCCAACCUGCCGUCUACUCUUGGCCAGCCUUCUGAAAGGAAGAUUAAUCCAGGAUGGCAUCAUGAGUUCACAUGUCCGCAUGAUUAAAAGGUAAUUUUCCGGUUACGACGAAUGGGGAGG